CCUACGGGAGGCAGCAGUGGGGAAUAUUGCACAAUGGGGGGAACCCUGAUGCCGCAAUGCCGCGUGGGUGAAGAAGCACUCCGGUGCGUAAAGCCCUGUCAGCAGGGAAGAAAAUGACAGUACCUGACCAAGAAGCCACGGCUAACUACGUGCCAGCAGCCGCGGUAAUACGUAGGGGGCAAGCGUUAACCGGAUUUACUGGGGUUAAAGGGAGCGCAGGCGGGAUGGCAAGUCAGACGUGAAAACCCAGGGCACAACCCUGGGACUGCAUUGGAAACUGCCAUACUGGAGUGCCGGAGAGGUAAGUGGAAUUCCUAGUGUAGCGGGGAAAUGCGUAGAUAUUAGGAGGAACACCAGUGGCGGAGGCGGCUUACUGGACGGUAACUGACGCUGAGGCUCGAAAGCGUGGGGAGCAAACAGGAUUAGAUACCCUGGUAGUC
rnacentral:rRNA from 1 species